GCAUCGCUGGGUAGCUAUGUAUGGACGGGAUAAGUGCUGAAAGCAUCUAAGCAUGAAGCCCCCCUCAAGAUGAGAUUUCCCAACUUCGGUUAUAAGAUCCCUCAAAGAUGAUGAGGUUAAUAGGUUCGAGGUGGAAGCAUGGCGACAUGUGGAGCUGACGAAUACUAAUCGAUCGAAGACUUAAUCAAUUU
rnacentral:rRNA from 1 species